GCAUAGGCACAGGUGUGCACUCACACCAUAAUUUCUAAUGAAGGAAGCAGUCUUUGGCUAAGGAUGGAUGGGGUCUUGUGAACAAACAACCCGCUCCAGUGUUGCGUGUCACUGAGAGGCAACACAGAGUCUCCCAAUGUCCUCAGCAGGAGUAUGUUCCAGUCACUCAAGGCAUUGCCUUGCUGACUGCUGCACCAUUUAAUGACUGUUCUCUUUCUGGUCUCCUUUGAUGAGUGCUCUGUUCUGUCAUCAUCUCCAAGAUGACCAUUUGCCUUUAAACCCAGGCUUCAAGGUCUUUGCCCCAGGGGAAUCCAGAGCCAGAUACUGCCCUAUGAGGGAGAAAGAUUUUUAUUGACACCUUUAGUUUAGCCAAAAAAAAAAAAAAAAAAGAAAGAAAUGGAGCCAGAGAAAGGUUGGCUAACUUGUGGACGAUCACAGGGCUGGAAAGAGACAAACCUUGGCAUCAAACUCAGGCUCAAAGUCUGUGUGGUAAACCCACCACUCCUGGGAGAACCAGACAAUCACAGAGCACUCUAGCUGCAUUUCCCUGGCUCUCAGAGACAGACUACAGGGCUAGGCCUCUUCUGAGCCAAGCAUCUCCACCCAACAUCACAGAAGCAGAACGAAUACUUACAUGGUUCUCUGACCAUCCGCCAUAUUAUAUUUCCAACUGACCUCUUUCUGAAUUUCCUACUCU
rnacentral:lncRNA from 1 species